rnacentral:lncRNA from 10 species
GAAAAAUGUUUCUCAUAUCCUUCAGGUCACCUGAGUAGAAACCUAUAUAAAAAGGGUGAGUGUGAAGAGUUAAGAGGAAAACCUUUAGCAAACUGAGGUUGUUUCUACUUGCUAAAAGGGUCUCUCAUUUCUAUUCAUGAAUGGCCUUUCUACGCUUUCUCCUGAGCCACAGAAGAGGACAUUUCAGCACAAUCUAAGGUAGACUGAAACAAGUAAAACAUCUGGAUAAACUCCCCCAUGAACACUGAAAAAAGAAACAUGACUAAUAAGCUCUCUUCUCCACAUGCUGGAGAUUCUACUGAUGGUAACACAUUCAGAUACAAACACGUGAACCAAUAAUAACCAACCUCACUGCUAAAGCAGUCACUUGAAGCGAUAACCUCACUUCUGCUUUCCCAAAUAGGUCAUUUCAAAGCCUUAGAAACUGGCCUCAACAGUAACUGCAGGAAGCAUACUUGUCAGAUCUGAGCAAUAAAAAUACACCCUGACUGCUGAGCCUGGAGCACGGGAGAGCCUACAGCUAACCAGGGAAGACAUGCUUUAGAUAAAGUCCUUCCAACAUCUUGCAACCUGGAUAACAGCCAAGUCCUAUUCAUCCCUCUCAACCUGGCUCUUCCAUGCCCUCCUGCAAGGCCUUCCCCAGCCCUUCUCUGUGGAUGCCCCUCCUCCGUUUUGAAGCAGACUGGAUACCAGCCCCACCCCGCCGCCAUGCUUCUUUUAUCCUUGCAGCUUCACUCCUGAGGCUGGCGAGACCACGAACCCACCAGGAGAAAUGAACUCCAGACGGGAAGAAUAAACAACUCCAGAUGCACCACCUUAAGAGCUGUAACACGCACCGCCAAGGUUUGCAGAUUCAUUCCUGAAGCCAGCAAGACCACGAACCCACCAGAAGGAAGAAACUCUGAACACGUCCGAACAUCAGAAGGAACAAACUCUGGAUACACCAUCUUUAAGAACUGUAACACUCACCACGAGGGUCCAUGACUUCAUUCUUGAAGUCAGUGAGACCAAGAACCCACCAAUUCUGGACACAAUUUCAUUUGGUGAGCAGUCCAGAUUACAUGUGUGUACACUGUAAUGAUCAGCUAAGGACUGACUGCUUUUAGCUCCUUCACCCGUUCUCACCUCUGAGGUUCAGUAAUAAAUGGCUCCUACCAACUAACUGAAGUAUCAAUCAAAAUCUUAAAGGUAUUCAUUCAUUAUACGGUAUUUACACCCCCCUUAAAAUGCAAAAUUUAUAGUUUUAUUAAUACAAACAUCCAGACAAGAAAAUAAGCAGACUAGCAAGAUAAAACCAGAGCCUUCAAAAAUUACACAAAGCAUACAAAUAUGUAGGCCAAAUGGUUAAAGUGAGCCAUAAACUUGGCCCUACACUCUAGUGACAAA